rnacentral:lncRNA from 1 species
ACAAAUGGAUUAAAGGUCAUGACAGGUUUCUUUUAGUGGGAAAAACAAUAAUGACCCCAAAAUGGAAGAAAAUAAUAGAAAGGGCCAGCUGUUCCUUCGUUAUGGAUAUAUUAAUUCUUGAUCCAAAAACAAAAUUUCACUUGGAUAUAUAAUCUCAUUUUGGGAGCUCAUGGGGUUGGUUGGUCCUCGUGGACCGAUCCA